AUUGAACGCUGGCGGCAGGCUUAACACAUGCAAGUCGAACGGUAACAGGAAGAAAGCUUGCUUUCUUUGCUGACGAGUGGCGGACGGGUGAGUAAUGCUUGGGAAUCUGUUUCAUGGAGGGGGAUAACUACGGGAAACUGUAGCUAAUACCGCGUAAUAUCGAGAGAUUAAAUGUGUGGGACCGCAAGGCCACAUGCCAUGAAGUGAGCCCAAGUGGGAUUAGAUAGUUGGUGAGGUAAUGGCUCACCAAGUCGGCGAUCUCUAGCUGGUCUGAGAGGAUGACCAGCCACACUGGGACUGAGACACGGCCCAGACUCCUACGGGAGGCAGCAGUGGGGAAUAUUGCACAAUGGGCGCAAGCCUGAUGCAGCCAUGCCGCGUGAAUGAAGAAGGCCUUCGGGUUGUAAAGUUCUUUCGGUGGUGNGGAAGGUUGG
rnacentral:rRNA from 1 species